rnacentral:rRNA from 1 species
AUUGAACGCUGGCGGCGUGCUUAACACAUGCAAGUCGAGCGGUAACAGGCGUAGCAAUACGUGCUGACGAGCGGCGAACGGGUGCGUAAUACAUCGGAAUCUGCCUCGUAGUGGGGAAUAACCCGGCGAAAGCCGGGCUAAUGCCGCAUACGAUCCACGGAUGAAAGCGGGGGACCUUCGGCCGUCGCGCUAUGAGAUGAGCCGAUGUCGGAUUAGCUAGUGGUGAGGUAACGGCUCACCAAGGCGACGAUCCGUAGCUGGUCUGAGAGGACGGCCAGCCACACUGGGACUGAGACACGGCCCAGACUCCUACGGGAGGCAGCAGUGGGAAUAUUGGACAAUGGGGGAAACCCUGAUCCAGCGACGCCGCGUGUGUGAAGAAGGCCUGCGGGUUGUAAAGCACUUUCGGU